UACGGAGGAUGCGAGCGUUAUCCGGAUUUAUUGGGUUUAAAGGGUGCGCAGGCGGAUUUUUAAGUCAGCGGUCAAAUCGUGGGGCUCAACCCCAUCCAGCCGUUGAAACUGGGGAUCUAGAGUGUGCGAGAGGUAUGCGGAAUGCGUGGUGUAGCGGUGAAAUGCAUAGAUAUCACGCAGAACCCCGAUUGCGAAGGCAGCAUACCGGUGCGCAACUGACGCUCAGGCACGAAAGCGUGGGUAUCGAACAGG
rnacentral:rRNA from 1 species